rnacentral:rRNA from 1 species
AUUGAACGCUGGCGGCAGGCCUAACACAUGCCAGUCGAGCGAGCGGCGGACGGGUGAGUAAUGUCUGGGAAACUGCCUGAGGGGAGGGGAUAACUACUGGAAACGGUAGAUAAGACCACAUAUCAUAGGAGGUGCCCAGAUGGGAAUAGCUAGUAGGUGGGGUAACGGCUCACAGAGGCGACGAGCCCUAGCUGGUCUGAGAGGAUGACCAGCCACACUGGAAAGUAGACACGGUCCAGACUCCUACGGGAGGCAGCAGUGGGGAAUAUUGCACAAUGGGCGCAAGCCUGAUGCAGCAAUGCCGCGUGUAUGAAGAAGGCCUUCGGGUUGUAAAGUACUUUCAGCGGGGAGGCGUUACCCGCAGAAGAAGCACCGGCUAACUCCGUGUCAGCCGCCGCGGUAAUUC